UACGGAGGGUGCGAGCGUUGUCCGGAAUCACUGGGCGUAAAGGGCGCGUAGGCGGCCUGAUAAGUAGGGGGUGAAAUCCUGCGGCUUAACCGCAGGGCUGCCUUCUAAACUGUCAGGCUAGAGCACAGUAGAGGCAGGUGGAAUUCCCGGUGUAGCGGUGGAAUGCGUAGAGAUCGGGAGGAACAUCCGUGGCGAAGGCGGCCAUCUGGAUCAACACUGACGCUGAGGCACGAAGCGUGGGGAGCAAACAGG
rnacentral:rRNA from 1 species